AUGGCCUACGGGACGCAGCAGUGGGGAAUAUUGGACAAUGGGGGGAACCCUGAUCCAGCGACGCCGCGUGAGUGAAGAAGUAUUUCGGAUUGUAAACUCCUUUUAUCAGGGACGAUAAUGACGGUACCUGAAGAAAAAGCUCCGGCUAACUACGUGCCAGCAGCCGCGGUAAUACGUAGGGAGCGAGCGUUGUCCGGAAUUACUGGGUGUAAAGGGAGCGUAGGCGGGACGGCAAGUCAGAUGUGAAAACUGAGGGCUCAACUUUCAGACUGCAUUUGAAACUGCUGUUCUUGAGUGAAGUAGAG
rnacentral:rRNA from 1 species